GCCAAGAUCGUGCCAUUGCACUCCAGCCUGGGUAACGAGCAAAACUCCAUCUCAAAAACAAAAAGACUGUACUGGCCAGUUUAUAGCCAGUAUAUACUACACACACACACACACACACACACACACACAGCCAGUAUAUACUACACAAACACAGCCAGUAUAUACUACACACACACACACAGCCAGUAUAUACUACACACACACACACAGCCAGUAUAUACUACACACACACACAUACACACAGCCAGUAUAUACUACACACACACAGCCAGUAUAUACUACACACACACAUACACACACACAGCCAGUAUAUACUACACACACACAGCCAGUAUAUACUACACACACACACACAGCCAGUAUAUACUACACACACACACACAGCCAGUAUAUACUACACACACACACAUACACACAGCCAGUAUAUACUACACACACACACACAUACACACAGCCAGUAUAUACUACACACACACACAUACACACAGCCAGUAUAUACUACACACACACACACAGCCAGUAUAUACUACACACACACACAUACACACAGCCAGUAUAUACUACACACACACACACACAGCCAGUAUAUACUACACACACACACACAGCCAGUAUAUACUACACACACACACACACACACACAGCCAGUAUAUACUACACACACACACACACAGCCAGUAUAUACUACACACACACAUACACACACACAGCCAGUAUAUACUACACACACACACACACACACACACACAGCCAGUAUAUACUACACACACAUACACACACACAGCCAGUAUAUACUACACACACACACACACACAGCCAGUAUAUACUACACACACACACACACAGCCAGUAUAUACUACACACACACACACAGCCAGUAUAUACUACACACACACACACACACACACAGCCAGUAUAUACUACACACACACACACACACAGCCAGUAUAUACUACACACACACACACACAGCCAGUAUAUACUACACACACACACACACAGCCAGUAUAUACUACACACAUACACACACACAGCCAGUAUAUACUACACACACACACACACAGCCAGUAUAUACUACACACACACACACACACAGCCAGUAUAUACUACACACACACACAUACACACACACACAACCAGUAUAUACUACACACACACACACAGCCAGUAUAUACUACACACACACACAGCCAGUAUAUACUACACACACACACACAGCCAGUAUAUACUACACACACACAUACACACACACAGCCAGUAUAUACUACACACACACACACACACACACAGCCAGUAUAUACUACACACACACACACAGCCAGUAUAUACUACACACACACACACACAGCCAGUAUAUACUACACACACACACACAGCCAGUAUAUACUACACACACACACACACAGCCAGUAUAUACUACACACACACACAUACACACAGCCAGUAUAUACUACACACACACAGCCAGUAUAUACUACACACACACAUACACACACACAGCCAGUAUAUACUACACACACACAGCCAGUAUAUACUACACACACACACACAGCCAGUAUAUACUACACACACACACAUACACACAGCCAGUAUAUACUACACACACACACACAGCCAGUAUAUACUACACACACACAUACACACACACAGCCAGUAUAUACUACACACACACACACACACACACAGCCAGUAUAUACUACACACACACACACACAGCCAGUAUAUACUACACACACACAUACACACACACAGCCAGUAUAUACUACACACACACACACACACACAGCCAGUAUAUACUACACACACACAUACACACACACAGCCAGCAUAUACUACACACACACACACACACACAGCCAGUAUAUACUACACACACACACACACAGCCAGUAUAUACUACACACACACACACACACACACAGCCAGUAUAUACUACACACACACACACACAGCCAGUAUACUACACACACACACACAGCCAGUAUAUACUACACACAUACACACACACAGCCAGUAUAUACUACACACACACACACACAGCCAGUAUAUACUACACACACACACACACACAGCCAGUAUAUACUACACACACACACACACACAGCCAGUAUAUACUACACACACACACAUACACACACACACAACCAGUAUAUACUACACACACACACACACACAGCCAGUAUAUACUACGCACACACACACACACACAGCCAGUAUAUACUACACACACACACACAGCCAGUAUAUACUACACACACACACACACAGCCAGUAUAUACUACACACACACACACAGCCAGUAUAUACUACACACACACACACACAGCCAGUAUAUACUACACACACACACACAGCCAGUAUAUACUACACACACACAUACACACACACAGCCAGUAUAUACUACACACACACACACACACACAGCCAGUAUAUACAACACACACACACACACAGCCAGUAUAUACUACACACACACACACACACAGCCAGUAUAUACUACACACACACACACACAGCCAGUAUAUACUACACACACACACACACACAGCCAGUAUAUACUACACACACACACACAGCCAGUAUAUACUACACACACACACACACAGCCAGUAUAUACUACACACACACACACACACACAGCCAGUAUAUACUACACACACACACACACAGCCAGUAUAUACUACACACACACACACACACACACAGCCAGUAUAUACUACACACACACACACACAGCCAGUAUAUACUACACACACACACACACAGCCAGUAUAUACUACACACACACACACACAGCCAGUAUAUACUACACACAUACACACACACACAGCCAGUAUAUACUACACACACACACACACACAGCCAGUAUAUACUACACACACACACACACACAGCCAGUAUAUACUACACACACACACACACACAGCCAGUAUAUACUACACACACACACACAGCCAGUAUAUACUACACACACACACACACAGCCAGUAUAUACUACACACACACACACACACACAGCCAGUAUAUACUACACACACACACACACAGCCAGCAUAUACUACACACACACACACACACACAGCCAGUAUAUACUACACACACACACACACAGCCAGUAUAUACUACACACACACACACACACACAGCCAGUAUAUACUACACACACACACACACAGCCAGUAUAUACUACACACACACACACACACACACAGCCAGUAUAUACUACACACACACACACACAGCCAGUAUAUACUACACACACACACACAGCCAGUAUAUACUACACACAUACACACACACACAGCCAGUAUAUACUACACACACACACACAGCCAGUAUAUACUACACACACACACACACAGCCAGUAUAUACUACACACACACACACACACAGCCAGUAUAUACUACACACACACAUACACACACACAGCCAGUAUAUACUACACACACACACACACACACAGCCAGUAUAUACUACACACACACAUACACACACACAGCCAGUAUAUACUACACACACACACACAGCCAGUAUAUACUACACACACACACACACAGCCAGUAUAUACUACACACACACACACACAGCCAGUAUAUACUACACACACACAUACACACACACAGCCAGUAUAUACUACACACACACACACACACAGCCAGUAUAUACUACACACACACAUACACACACACAGCCAGUAUAUACUACACACACACACACAGCCAGUAUAUACUACACACACACAUACACACAGCCAGUAUAUACUACACACACACACACACAGCCAGUAUAUACUACACACACACAGCCAGUAUAUACUACACACACACAUACACACACACAGCCAGUAUAUACUACACACACACAUACACACACACACAGCCAGUAUAUACUACGCACACACAUACACACACACACAGCCAGUAUAUACUUGCUACCCAUCAUGUAUAAUCCAGAUGCAGCUUUUUCUCUUCUUUGUUCUUAUCCUAACUUAUUUUUUUCAAAUACUAUAUUACUUUCAAUCUUCAAAUUCAAACGAAAUGUGCUGUGGUUUUGAGAAUUUCUGUUUGUUUUUGCUUUGGGUUUGGUUUAGGGUUUGUAUGUUGGCAGAUGCCAGUACAGCUAUCCCAAACAUCACACGUCCCUCUAUCCAUCCCCAGCCCCGGCUUAGCAGAAUUCCUGUUGACAGAAGUAAACGUCUUCACUCAAGGAUCUUCUCGGUACAGACUGGGCUGCCACUCAAACCAAACACUGGGGUAAGUAACGUAUUCCAAAUGCAUGCAAGAAAGCACAUAUUGCUUUAA
rnacentral:lncRNA from 1 species